GAACGCUGGCGGCAGGCCUAACACAUGCAAGUCGAGCGGUAGCACAGAGAGCUUGCUCUCGGGUGACGAGCGGCGGACGGGUGAGUAAUGUCUGGGAAACUGCCUGAUGGAGGGGGAUAACUACUGGAAACGGUAGCUAAUACCGCAUAAUGUCGCAAGACCAAAGUGGGGGACCUUCGGGCCUCAUGCCAUCAGAUGUGCCCAGAUGGGAUUAGCUAGUAGGUGGGGUAACGGCUCACCUAGGCGACGAUCCCUAGCUGGUCUGAGAGGAUGACCAGCCACACUGGAACUGAGACACGGUCCAGACUCCUACGGGAGGCAGCAGUGGGGAAUAUUGCACAAUGGGCGCAAGCCUGAUGCAGCCAUGCCGCGUGUGUGAAGAAGGCCUUCGGGUUGUAAAGCACUUUCAGCGGGGAGGAAGGCGGUAAGGUUAAUAACCUCAUCGAUUGACGUUACCCGCAGAAGAAGCACCGGCUAACUCCGUGCCAGCAGCCGCGGUAAUACGGAGGGUGCAAGCGUUAAUCGGAAUUACUGGGCGUAAAGCGCACGCAGGCGGUCUGUCAAGUCGGAUGUGAAAUCCCCGGGCUCAACCUGGGAACUGCAUUCGAAACUGGCAGGCUAGAGUCUUGUAGAGGGGGGUAGAAUUCCAGGUGUAGCGGUGAAAUGCGUAGAGAUCUGGAGGAAUACCGGUGGCGAAGGCGGCCCCCUGGACAAAGACUGACGCUCAGGUGCGAAAGCGUGGGGAGCAAACAGGAUUAGAUACCCUGGUAGUCCACGCCGUAAACGAUGUCGAUUUGGAGGUUGUGCCCUUGAGGCGUGGCUUCCGGAGCUAACGCGUUAAAUCGACCGCCUGGGGAGUACGGCCGCAAGGUUAAAACUCAAAUGAAUUGACGGGGGCCCGCACAAGCGGUGGAGCAUGUGGUUUAAUUCGAUGCAACGCGAAGAACCUUACCUGGUCUUGACAUCCACAGAACUUUCCAGAGAUGGAUUGGUGCCUUCGGGAACUGUGAGACAGGUGCUGCAUGGCUGUCGUCAGCUCGUGUUGUGAAAUGUUGGGUUAAGUCCCGCAACGAGCGCAACCCUUAUCCUUUGUUGCCAGCGGUCCGGCCGGGAACUCAAAGGAGACUGCCAGUGAUAAACUGGAGGAAGGUGGGGAUGACGUCAAGUCAUCAUGGCCCUUACGACCAGGGCUACACACGUGCUACAAUGGCAUAUACAAAGAGAAGCGACCUCGCGAGAGCAAGCGGACCUCAUAAAGUAUGUCGUAGUCCGGAUUGGAGUCUGCAACUCGACUCCAUGAAGUCGGAAUCGCUAGUAAUCGUAGAUCAGAAUGCUACGGUGAAUACGUUCCCGGGCCUUGUACACACCGCCCGUCACACCAUGGGAGUGGGUUGCAAAAGAAGUAGGUAGCUUAACCUUCGGGAGGGCGCUUACCACUUUGUGAUUCAUGACUGGGGUGAAGUCGUAACAAGGUAACCGUAGGGGAACCUGCGGCUGGAUC
rnacentral:rRNA from 2 species